UGGAAUGUUUUUCAUUCUGUUAUUGCA
rnacentral:piRNA from 1 species